CGUAGGUGCAAGCGUUGUCCGGAAUUAUUGGGCGUAAGAGCUCGUAGGCGGUCUGUCGCGUCGGCUGUGAAACUCGGGGCUCAACCCCGAGCCUGCAGUCGAUACGGGCAGACUAGAGUGCUGUAGGGAGGACUGGAAUUCCUGGUGUAGCGGUGAAAUGCGCAGAUAUCAGGAGGAACACCGGUGGCGAAGGCGGGUCUCUGGGCAGUAACUGACGCUGAGGAGCGAAAGCGUGGGAGCGAACAGGAUU
rnacentral:rRNA from 1 species